UCAGCUCUCUCUCUCUCUAGCCGAGACUCUCUCUCUCAUCCUCCUUGCCGGAAAUCGCCGCCGCCGCACCGCCGCCGGCCGCCGCCGUCGCCGGAACUCCUCUCCUCACCAAAAUUUCCAGAUUUUCUCCUCUUCCUUCCCUCUUUCCAUUUCUCCAACCAAAAUCAAGAAAUUUGGCCAUCCAACCCUCCAAAAACCCUAGAACCCGAAGCCAAUUUGGGGGUUUUUGUGAUUUCUUCUUUCCAAGCUUAAAUCAAGGUAAUAUCCCUCCUAAUCUAGCCUCUAUUCAUCCGAUCUACAUCUAUUUCUUCCAAAAUCCGAGUUUUGAUUUGGGUUUGUGAUUUUGUUUGCAUGAACCCGAUUUCUCCUUGAACCAUGAAGCUAGGCUACGGGUUUGACAAGGAUUUUUGGUGAAGAAGGCCAAGGAGAAGGAAUAGGACGUGAUUUUUGAAGAGGAAAUGGAAACACAAUCGUUAAGGAAGCUUAAGCGGAAAGCACCAGAGUGUGGAAUACGCCGGCAUUUCCAGUGUGCAGGUUUCGAGCAUGUGGUCGGGAAGCGUACAGGGGAGGCACAUGGCACGGCUUGGCGCAUUUCUCUUUAGUUUUAUCAAAAGAAGGUUUUGGUCCUUAAUCGGAUUUUGUAGUAGCUUGUUUAUUUACUUUUUAUUUAUUUCCUACUCGUUUACAAAAAUUCUGGGAGACCCGUAACCCUGGGGCGCGUCUCCCAUACUUGUAGUUACUUAGUGAUCUGUUUUAUUUUCCAAAUUGGGCUCCGAUCGCAAGCCCAAAACUCUUAGCCCAUUUCGAAUUCCGCUUUUGAAAAUGUGUUGUUAGGUUGCUAGAAUGAUUUGUCCAAGAAAGUGUUUUGUAAACCAACAACCUAAACUCAAAAGGCCUUGCGGUUUCGGGUUGAUGAGCUAUCGAGAUGUCAUUCGUACAUGUCGAUUCCUCAUUGGCUCGGAGUCGCGGCGCUGUGGGACCCCCAUCUCGGGUCA